rnacentral:rRNA from 1 species
AGAGUUUGAUUAUGGCUCAGGAUGAACGCUAGCGGCAGGCUUAACACAUGCAAGUCGAGGGGCAGCGGGAUGUAGCAAUACAUUGCCGGCGACCGGCGGAUGGGUGCGUAACGCGUAUGCAACCUACCUUAUACAGGGGAAUAACCUUUCGAAAGGGAGACUAACACUCCAUAGUAUUGAUUUAAGGCAUCUUAGAUUAAUUAAAUAUUUAUAGGUAUAAGAUGGGCAUGCGUAUGAUUAGCUAGUUGGUAAGGUAACGGCUUACCAAGGCGACGAUCAUUAGGGGUUCUGAGAGGAAGGUCCCCCACACUGGUACUGAGACACGGACCAGACUCCUACGGGAGGCAGCAGUGAGGAAUAUUGGUCAAUGGGCGCAAGCCUGAACCAGCCAUGCCGCGUGCAAGGAAGACGGCCUUAUGGGUUGUAAACUGCUUUUACAUAAGACUAACCGUAUAUUUGCGAAUAUACCUGAAUGUAUUAUGAGAAUAAGGAUCGGCUAACUCCGUGCCAGCCGCCGC